CCUACGGGUGGCUGCAGUGAGGAAUAUUGGUCAAUGGACGAGAGUCUGAACCAGCCAAGUAGCGUGAAGGAUGACUGCCCUAUGGGUUGUCAACUUCUUUUAUAUGGGAAUAAAAUGUUCCACGUGUGGGAUUUUGUAUGUAACAUAUGAAUAAGGCUCGGCUAACUCCGUGCCAGCAGCCGCGGUAAUACGGAGGAUCCGUGCGUUAUCCGGAUUUAUUGGGUUUAAAGGGAGCGCAGGUGGAUCGUUAAGUCAGUUGUGAAAGUUUGCGGCUCAAACGUAAAAUUGCAGUUGAAACUGGGAGUCUUGAGUACAGUAGAGGUGGGCGGAAUUCGUGGUGUAGCGGUGAAAUGCUUAGAGAUCACGAAGAACUCAGAUUGCGAAGGCAGUUCACUGGACUACAACUGACACUGAGGCUCGAAAGUGUGGGUAUCAAACAGGAUUAGAUACCCGAGUAGUC
rnacentral:rRNA from 1 species